rnacentral:misc_RNA from 1 species
UUUCCGUAGGUGAACCUGCGGAAGGAUCAUUAUCGAAUUUAAUUCCGGGGUUGUAGCUGGCCAUUAUUUUGGCAUGUGCACGCCCUGGUAAUCCAAAUCAUUUAUACCUCUGUGCACUAUUAUGUGGGAUUGAUGAGGCUUUGGUGCUUGCGCCAAUGGCAUUAUCAUUCUCAUGUUUCACAUACACUCUUUAGUAUAGAAUGUUAUUGCGUUAGACGCAUCUUAAUACAACUUUCAGCAACGGAUCUCUUGGCUCUCGCAUCGACGAAGAACGCAGC